UUGGGACCCGGACUCACCGGUGACGUGACCUCACGUGACCAGGAGCCGACGUGCUGGAGUCUUGGUCCAGAUAGUGGUUUCUGCUCAGGUACCAGCUCCCUAUUUCCCUGGAUGCAGCGUACUGUGACCAGAAAGGAGGAGGAGGACGUGGAGGAAACCUGAUCCCUACACUCCCUCCCCUAGAUCCAGCUCUACUGAAGCUUCCAACUGCCGCCCCCAACUUGCUCUGAGGGUGCACCCUGAGACAUUCGCACUACUCCAGCAUGGGCCGUGCUCAGCAUUUGGGCUUGAUUGCAGCUGGACUGGUGAUUGGGGCUGGUGCCUGCUACUACAUAUACCAACUGACCUGUGGUAGAGAGCAGAACGAAAAGACACCAGCUGACUUGAAAAACAUUAAUCCUGCCUACAAAAAGUUUAGAAAAUACAGAAAACUGUAAGAAAGAGAAUAAAAAUAAGACACCAAGA